GCCGGUGCUUGCAGAAGGCUGUUCUAGCCUCAGGGAUUCUCACACAUACUUCUGUUGACAGAGUUCCUGUGUAGCAAGCAAUCUGAAAUGCCUUUUGUUAAAGAUCUAUUCAUGUCCCCUUUCCGUUCUGCCCCAACACUUGGAAGAUCAUUCAGCUCCUCAGCCCUGCUACUGCACUCAUGGAAAAACUGUAUUUGGGGUUGUCUAGAGAACAGAACAGGAACAAAGGCGUCUUAGACAAUGGUCCACAAUUCUCAAAAUACUUAAAAGGAUGUAGGUCCCAAUAAAAAAUGGAAGAUUGCAUUGAAUUAUAAUCCACAUGACAUUUAGAAAUAAAAUCAAUUUCACCUUUGUCUGAUGGUGCUGGAAUGGAAGCUCAGCACUCUGGACUGGAGACGGUAUUACCUUAUUCUCUGCUCAUAAAAACCAGCAAGUCACUUGAAACUUCGAAGUGUGAAAUAAAGAGGAAAAUUCAUUGCUGCAUUGUGGAAACUUGUUCACGUCCUUCAUUUGCAUAUAAUUUGACAUCCAGUAAAACAUCCCUGGAAUUUACUAGUUAUUGCCCUACUGUAUGCUGUUGAAGAGCCUGAGAAAAAGAAGCUGGAUGGAGACUUAUUCUAUUCCUCAGAUUAAAAUGCAUCAAGUGGUCCGGGAAAACACAGUUCCCCAUUUUUUUGUUAACCUGAAUGCAGAUGAAAAACCAGACACAACUCAUGGAAACACUCACUUAAAAUUUAAGCUAAAUAUUAACACUUUUUCAAAUUUAAGGCACUCACUAUUCAGGAAUAACUCUGAAUUCCAGAGCAUUCAUAUGGCAAACACAGAAACCUCUUCAUCAGAAGAUCAAGAGGAAGAUGAUAAUAUUUUUACAGUUUUACCUAUGAACGGAACUGUCUGGGACAGUUUUCAGAAAAUUUACAUUUCUCAUGGCUACAUCAAUAAAAACGUCACCUUACCUACUGCUGAUGGCAGUCUCCCCAGUGAGGAGAAACUAAAUGAGCAAAGAUUACAUCUACAGAAGGGCAAGACUAUAAUCUUGUGAGACUCUUGAGGCUGAACAGAAGUUCCCACAUGCUCUUCUCUGGCUGCAGUCCUGCAGGCAAGAUGAAACCACAGAAGGACAACGUUUACAGUUAUUAACUCUUAUUUAAAACUUGUAUAUACCACUUCUUGUCCAGAUCUCAAAGCAGUUAUAACUUCAAAAACUAGGCUAAAACCAUUAAAAACAAUAUACAUCGUUC
rnacentral:lncRNA from 1 species